rnacentral:misc_RNA from 2 species
AUAUAUAUCAACCCACUCUUGUUGAGUGGUUUGGAUGUGGAGGGUUUUGCUGGCUGCUUAAAAGGUGCCAGCUCCUCUGAAAUGCAUUAGUGGAACAACCUGUCCAUUCAUUGGUGUGAUAACUAUCUACGCUGUUGAAUGUGAGGCAGUUCAGCUAUCUAACAGUCCUUGGACAAACUUAUCAUUUA